rnacentral:rRNA from 1 species
CUACGGGGCGCAGCAGUGAGGAAUAUUGCACAAUGGGGGGAACCCUGAUGCAGCAACGCCGCGUGGAGGAUGACGCAUUUCGGUGUGUAAACUCCUUUUAUAUGUCAAGAAAAUGACGGUAGCAUAUGAAUAAGCACCGGCUAACUCCGUGCCAGCAGCCGCGGUAAUACGGAGGGUGCAAGCGUUACUCGGAAUCACUGGGCGUAAAGGACGCGUAGGCGGGUUGGAAAGUCAGGUGUGAAAUCCUACAGCUUAACUGUAGAACUGCACUUGAAACUUCUAAUCUAGAGUAUGGGAGGGGUAGAUGGAAUUAGUGGUGUAGUGGUAAAAUCCGUAGAUAUCACUAGGAAUACCUAAAGCGAAGGCGAUCUCCUGGAACAUUACUGACGCUAAGGCGUGAAAGCGUGGGGAGCAAACAGGAUUAGAUACCCGAGUAGUC